GACGAACGCUGGCGGCGUGCCUAAUACAUGCAAGUUGAGCGCUGAAGGUUGGUACUUGUACCAACUGGAUGAGCAGCGAACGGGUGAGUAACGCGUGGGGAAUCUGCCUUUGAGCGGGGGACAACAUUUGGAAACGAAUGCUAAUACCGCAUAAAAACUUUAAACACAAGUUUUAAGUUUGAAAGAUGCAAUUGCAUCACUCAAAGAUGAUCCCGCGUUGUAUUAGCUAGUUGGUGAGGUAAAGGCUCACCAAGGCGAUGAUACAUAGCCGACCUGAGAGGGUGAUCGGCCACAUUGGGACUGAGACACGGCCCAAACUCCUACGGGAGGCAGCAGUAGGGAAUCUUCGGCAAUGGACGAAAGUCUGACCGAGCAACGCCGCGUAAGUGAAGAAGGUUUUCGGAUCGUAAAACUCUGUUGGUAGAGAAGAACGUUGGUGAGAGUGGAAAGCUCAUCAAGUGACGGUAACUACCCAGAAAGGGACGGCUAACUACGUG
rnacentral:rRNA from 1 species